rnacentral:rRNA from 1 species
AUACAGAGGGUGCGAGCGUUAAUCGGAAUUACUGGGCGUAAAGCGCGCGUAGGCGGCUUAUUAAGUCAGAUGUGAAAUCCCCGGGCUCAACCUGGGAACUGCAUCUGAUACUGGUAAGCUAGAGUUUGGGAGAGGGAAGUAGAAUUUCAGGUGUAGCGGUGAAAUGCAUAGAGAUCUGAAGGAAUACCAGUGGCGAAGGCGACCUCCUGGCCUAAAACUGACGCUGAGGUGCGAAAGCGUGGGUAGCAAACGGGAUUAGAAACCCCAGUAGUCC